rnacentral:lncRNA from 1 species
GAGGAUUUUACAGUAUCUUCGUUUUCGUGGGCGGGGACCCUCCCUCCUCCAGUCUCCUUGGGAGAGGUUUAACCGUGUGAGGACUGGAGUUCUCCAGGCUGCCGCCGCUUCUCCGCCGGGCUGGCGCGGGCGGCACGCCUCGGGGCAGUCACGACGCCUGAGGAAAAGCCUCCCUGCCGCGGGCCGGUGCUGCUGCUAAGGGGCCCCUCUACCACCGCGUCCCUCGGAGCCCGGACCACUUGACCGGCGUUCCUCCCUUCCGCUCACCUCCCUGAGACGACUGAGAUGUGCCCUUGGUUAGAAAGAAGAGAAUCUGUUUGAAUGAUAAGAUGAUAUUAUAUGUGAUAAUAAUAUGAUCCCUGGCAUAAUGGGACUAGCAAACCAGUUAAAGAAAUAAGAGGUUUUAACUGAGAAUGGACGCAAGAAACCAAAUGAGCAUCUCAUUAGAGUAUCAUCUUUAUUACUGGUUCAGCAGGGAUCGCAAACUCUUUCUGCGAAAGGCCAGACAGUACAUCUUUUCAGCUUUCUGGGCCACACAGUCUCUAUCACACUACUCAACUCUGCCAUUGUAGCAUGAAAGUAGCCAUAGGCAAUAUGCAAACAAAUGAGUGUGGCUGUAAGCCAAUUAAACUUUAUUUAUGGAUGCUGAAGUGUGAAUUUUGUACAGUGUUCAUGUGUCGCAAAAUAUUCUUUUAUUUUUUUUCAACCAUUUAAAAAUGUAAAAACUAUUUUUAGUUUACUUUCCAUACAGGCUGCGGGUAGGAUUUGGCCCCUGAGCCAUAAGCCUACAGAUUUAGGAGCAAUUUAUUCUAAAGGCCCUUUGAGGGAGACUGCUUCUUUGCUUGGCCUGAUUAUCCAGAGAGGGGGCAGGGAGGACAGGAGGCUAGAAUCAAACUGUCCCUUCCAAGGCAGCCAAAUAUGCCCAGCCAGGGCAGACAGGAACCCUCCCCAUCAGCAAAUCCUCUUUAAUUCUCUCAUAUCUCAAGAAAGACCUUUUCUCAGGAUCCCUAUCAUAGUUAUUUUACUUAGCUUUUUUGUAUUCCAUGGGUGUGCCCUUCUUUGCCAUGAUCACAGCAAAUAAGUUAGAGGAGAGGCACCACUGAGCUGAAACUAAACGUAUGAGGAGACGGCUGAUACUGGUAUCUCUGACUUCAGACAAGGAGCCCCACAGGCCUGAGACCUAUACCUCUGAGAAGGGGGCACUAGCUGAUUGGUGCUGGUGUAGCUGAGGGAAGGCAAUAAAGCUGGUUCUGCAUGUUAGAAAAACUGCAAACUGGAUUCAGCUGCUGCUUCUGGAACAAUCUGCCACUGCCAGGGUUGAAGAAGUACAGCGGGAAGAAGUGCAUUCUCCCUCUGGUGACUUCUAUUGUUGGAUCCUAACCAAGACCCAGGUGGCAAAGAAGUAAUGUGGUUUGCAGAACAUCACCGAAGUGUACAUGAGAAUGGUUUAAAGUUAAGAGACAAUAGCAUAUCAACUGGUAUAACUACCCUUUGAAAAUAAGGAUAAACUAGUUUCAGCUCUUCCCACCAUCACUAAUUUCACAACCAGUGUCCUAGCCACAACUUCAGAGAAUUCCUAAUUUCCUGUCCCCACUCCUUAGACUCUUGGUCUUCUGGUCUCCACGCCGAAAAUGUAUGGACCGUUUGGAUUCUGCUUCCUACUCUAGUUUAGUGGAGAACUCUACCCAUUACUAGGUUCUAUGAAAAAUCCAACCAUUUUCUAAAAAUUUGAAGAGUGAUACAUUGUUUCUCACGGAAUUUCACCAACCACCUAAUGUCUUUUAUUCAUCUCUGCAAUCAGAGCUGUCUUUGUCACACUAUGCCACUGUCCAAAGGCUCCUGCAUCCAGCAGUUGACUCUCCCUGCCAACAGAGCCCCCUGUGAAUUGUAGUCCAGUUGUAACCCAAUACAUUCAACUACUUUUCCAUGGGGAUCAUCCUCCCUGGAUUUCGAUGAAUAAUAUUUUCAUUAUUUCAUUACAUCUACAAUAAGGUAUCUUGUUACAGGCAUCUCCUUGAAACUUCAGAAAAAGAUUUGUUGAAAGUAUUGUGUGAGGGUCCACCCAGUGGUGCCAUAGUGAUUAAGUUCACAUACUGCAGUUUGGUGGCCCAGAGUUCACUGGUUCGAAUCCUGGGCGUGGACCUACAUACUCUCAUGAAACCAUGCUGUGGCAGCACCCCACAUACAAAAUAGAGGAACACUGGUACAGAUGUUAGCUCAGCGACAAUCUUCCUCAAACAAAAAGAGGAAGGUUGACAACGGAUGUUAGCUCAGGGCCAAUCUUCUUCACCAAAAAAAAAAAAGUAUUGUGUGAAGGGGUAAUGGAUAGUAAAUGGAAAUUAAUUGUACAAUGUCAAUGUAAGCAUUUUGUUAGGAAAUUAGAAGAAUCAAGUGUCAAGGAUUGGCAGCCAAAUGCCAUUUUUCAUCUCAAUAUAUUAGAAUUGUAUCUAUUAGUGUAAUCAGUACUAUCUCUAUAGAAAACAAUAUCAGAAAGCCCUUGUAGACAUUUUUUCCUCCAAUUAAUGCAAGUGGAAAACCAUUCCAGAAUCUCAU